rnacentral:rRNA from 1 species
CAUGAAUCAUGAUGUCAGUCACAAUUUAUUCUUCUCAACUGAAAGAGCUUUACAACCCGAAGGCCUUCUUCACUCACGCGGCAUUGCUGGAUCAGGCUUGCGCCCAUUGUCCAAAAUUCCCCACUGCUGCCUCCCGUAGGAGUCUGGGCCGUGUCUCAGUCCCAGUGUGGCUGGUCGUCCUCUCAGACCAACUACUGAUCGUCGCCUUGGUAGCCAUUACCCUACCAACUAGCUAAUCAGACAUCGGCCGCUCCAAAAGCAUAAGGUCUUUCGAUCCCCUGCUUUCCUCCCCCCGUG